UACGUAGGGGGCAAGCGUUGUCCGGAUUUAUUGGGCGUAAAGAGCGUGUAGGCGGCCACACAGGUCUGCUGUGAAAACUCGAGGCUCAACCUCGAGCUGUCGGUGGAAACCGUGUGGCUAGAGUCCGGAAGAGGAGAGUGGAAUUCCUGGUGUAGCGGUGAAAUGCGCAGAUAUCAGGAAGAACACCGGUGGCGAAGGCGGCUCUCUAGUACGGUACUGACGCUGAGACGCGAAAGCGUGGGGAGCGAACAGG
rnacentral:rRNA from 1 species